AGACAGACUCCAUCUGACAACCUGCAAGCAGCCAGCAAGCCCUUCCUGCUCUCUAGUGGACACAGCUGGGAGGUGCAUGCGCUGAUGUAGCCUCGCUGCAGGCGGAGCUGCCUACCUCAAGGUCUUCUGAAAGCCACUGUGCACUAGGCUGUACACUCUGUCUUCUUAGAGAAUUCUCAGCAGUCCUUCAAAGUCUUCCUUAUCAUCCGCAUCUCACAGACGGAGAUCCUAAGGCUUAGAGGCGUUUCCUGAACUACUGGCCCACCAGGGAAGCCCUGCUUCAACUUUAAGAUAGGGACAAUGAUGGGAUCUGUCUCCAUAGGGUUGUGUCCCUCCUUCCCAUGAAGAGGCCCCAAGAUCUCAGCCUGAGGACUCAGAAAUGUAGCAGCCAUGUCAGACCAGCCACUGGAGAAGGGUCCUGGGAGACACGCAGCAGACGACAUCACCCCAAACCCUCAGAUCCCAGAGGCCAUGCCAAUGGGGCUGCUGGCAUCUGGGAAGCCACGUUGACCACCAGGAGCCCGAGCUCCCAAGUCUCUUCGGGAUGAGAAGGGGGGAUCCUCUCCUGCCCCGCUGGAGGUGCUGGCCGCCGAAGCGAGGUGGGGCUCUGUCUGCCCUCCCUGAUUGCUUGUCAGCAACGGAGAAACACUUCCAGAGCCUGGAAAACCAUGAAAUGAUGAAAGGACAGCUUGUUCCAGAGAGCGGGAGUCAAAAGAACUGAACCCAGACCAAUAAGCAGGAUUCAAUAGAUAACUUGGGGGACCCAAUACAACACAAAAAUGCUGGGCCCCUGGUUCGAAAAGUAUUCAAAAUUUCAAGAAGGCAACAAUAAAGCUUUUAACCAAGCAUGGAGCCUCCUAUGUGUGGGCCCCUCUGAGCACAGGGCCCUGUGUGAUACAUGAUCACAGGCCCCAGCAGGCCACCCUGCCUGGAGCCAUCAUUUACUAAGCGCCUACCAUGGGCUAGACUCUUUAUAUGCAGUAUCUCAUUUAAUUCUCAAAUAGCUCAUUGAGGUAGGCAUGUAUAUGUCCUCCUCACAGAUGAGCAAAUUUAGGCUCAGAGAAGUUAAACCCUUUGCCCAAGGGCACAGAAGCUAAUGAGCAGUGAUCAGUCACUCAGUCGUGUCCAAUUCUUUCUGACCCUUUGGACAGCAGCCCACCAGGCUCCUCUUUUAGGCAAGAAUACUGGAGUGGGUUGCUGUUUCCUUUUCCCGAUCUUCCCGACCCAGGGAUCAAACCUGCGUCUUCUGUGUCUCCUGCGUUGUAGGCAGAUUCUUUACCUGAUGAGCCAUGAGGGAAGCCCAGUAAGUGGUAUGUGAAUACAGAUUUUUCCAAGGCUAGAGCCUGUGUUCUUCUCUUGAGUGGUGCUGCCUCUGAUGGGCGGUCUCUGGGGGCUGCUGGGAGCAUGACCUCCGAGUGAGGGCACCCUGAGGUUGUGGCUGAGACUCCCUCCCCUGGCUUGACCUGCCCUAUGCUGGGCUCUGGU
ensembl:lncRNA